GGGUUUCUUGAAAGCCCAUAAGUUGAGGGAUUCUUGGUUAUAGGUAGAAGCCCAUAAGCUAGAACUAGAUGGAUAUCCGAUUUAGGGCUUCUGAAUUUUUGAUGGCUUCUUUCGUUCUGCCGAUCGAUGAUGCGUGGUUGCUUCAGCGUUAAUCAAGCACUAAUUACUGCAAUUGAUCAAUGAAUAAUGCAUUUGGUACUUUAGCCACACGGUAGCAAAAUGCCCGGGGACCAAAGAUGAAACAAAGAUUGGUCCCAUAAAGACCGAGGGCUGGGUGGUUAUAGAGGUAACUCGGUGUUUGGCAACUUGAUCCCUACCAUCACUGUUAACUCGUGUUCGAUAUGCACUUUCGUGGUUUGGUUGAGGGCGACCGUCCAUUAUCGCGCCAGCCCUUUUUACCCCAUAUACAUAAAGAAAAUGACAUUUUUGAAGAGAUAUGGGAUAUUUGCAAGUUGCAUUUGAGAUAUGAUUGAUAAGAAGUUUCCACUUCAUUGCUUUCUUUCUUUAUCUUUUGAACGGGAUAUACUGAAUACGUUUGGUUUAAUUUUGUUUUCAAGUUUCGUUUGCCCUUUCGGGAUAAUAUCGAAGGGCAUAACGUAAAAAAUAUCUUAAUUUCUAU